UACGGAGGGUGCAAGCGUUGUUCGGAUUCACUGGGUGUAAAGGGUGUGUAGGCGGAGCAGCAAGUCAGUGGUGAAAGCCUGCGGCUUAACCGUAGAAUUGCCAUAGAUACUGCUGUUCUUGAGUACUGGAGAGGCUGCUAGAAUUCGUGGUGUAGCGGUGAAAUGCGUAGAUAUCACGAGGAAUACCAGAGGCGUCGGCGGGUAGCUGGACAGAUACUGACGCUGAGGCACGAAAGCGUGGGGAGCUAACAGG
rnacentral:rRNA from 1 species